ACCUGCGGAGGGAUCAUUACUGAGUUACCGCUCAUCAACCCUUUGUGAACAUACCUUAACUGUUGCUUCGGCGGGUAGGCGUCCCCUAAAAAGGACGUCUCCCGGCCCUCUCCCGUCCGCGGGUGGGGCGCCCGCCGGAGGAUAACCAAACUCUGAUUUAACGACGUUUCUUCUGAGUGACACAAGCAAAUAAUCAAAACUUUUAACAACGGAUCUCUUGGUUCUGGCAUCGAUGAAGAACGCAGCGAAAUGCGAUAAGUAAUGUGAAUUGCAGAAUUCAGUGAAUCAUCGAAUCUUUGAACGCACAUUGCGCCCGCCAGCAUUCUGGCGGGCAUGCCUGUUCGAGCGUCAUUUCAACCCUCAAGCUCUGCUUGGUGUUGGGGCUCUACGGUUGACGUAGGCCCUUAAAGGUAGUGGCGGACCCUCUCGGAGCCUCCUUUGCGUAGUAACAUUUCGUCUCGCAUUGGGAUUCGGAGGGACUCUAGCCGUAAAACCCCCAAUUUUACUAAGGUUGACCUCGGAUCAGGUAGGAAUACCCGCUGAACUUAAGCAUAUCAUA
rnacentral:rRNA from 1 species